rnacentral:rRNA from 1 species
AGUGAACGCUGGCGGUAGGCCUAACACAUGCAAGUCGAACGGCAGCACAGUAAGAGCUUGCUCUUACGGGUGGCGAGUGGCGGACGGGUGAGGAAUACAUCGGAAUCUACUUUUUCGUGGGGGAUAACGUAGGGAAACUUACGCUACUACCGCAUACGACCUACGGGUGAAAGCAGGGGAUCUUCGGACCUUGCGCGAUUGAAUGAGCCGAUGUCGGAUUAGCUAGUUGGCGGGGUAAAGGCCCACCAAGGCGACGAUCCGUAGCUGGUCUGAGAGGAUGAUUGGCCACACUGGAGCUGAGUCACGGUCCAGACUCUUACGGGAGGCGGCAUUGGGUAAUAUUGGGCAAAGGGCGGAAGCCUGUUCCAGCCAUACCGCGUGGGUGAAGAAGGCCUUCGGGUUGUAAAGCCCUUUUGUUGGGAAAGAAAAGCAGCAGGUUAAUACCCAGCUGUUCUGACGGUACCCAAAGAAUAAGCACCGGCUAACUUCGUG